ensembl:lncRNA
CCCCUCCCCCCGGCACCUCCGCCCGAACGGCCGCGGGCGGCGCGGGACAGCGGGAAGGCGCGCGAGGGGCCGGGAGUGGAGCGGGUGGGGCUGGAUGUGUGCUGCAGUGACCGGACGAGCACAAAGCUGGGGGAAAAGUGAAGGGAAAAGUGUCCCGGUGACAGCUCUCUGCUCCGCUCUGAGCGGGAGAGCCUUUCCCGAGCGAUUUUCAGUGCGCGGUGCAAUUCGUCUGUCUUUUUAAGCCUAGUUACCGCUGAAGAUAUCUUUUCCUGUGCUGGGGGCAGCUCCUGCUGCAUCACUGCUGCCCGGCUCUGCUGCGGGGGGGCUCAGGAGCGAGUGCCACAGAAGGAAGACGGCAGAUAACGUAUAGCACGUGUAACGAUUCACGUUAGUUACUUUGCGAGGGAUAAAAAGAAGCUUUUCUAAUAGGGUAACAGACAUGAAAACGCAGAGCUUUGGAACAGGUGCUCACAGAAAUAGGAGAGCCUCCCCACCUGGAAGUAUUGAGGAGACGUGUGGAUGUGGCACCGAGGGACCUGGUUUAGUGACUGGAAUCGAUUGCCUUUAGUAAAAGUGCCCGAGUAGCUGUGCUUAACUUGUUUAGAUUCAACCUGAAAUGAAUCAGGAGCUGAUGGUAUAAGAUGCUAUUUAGGCAUGAGACCAAACCUCCCACCGAUUCAACUUAAACUCUGGAAUUGUUUGUUUCUGCUGUGGAGCAUCAAUGAAGUACGCAGCCAUGCAGUCAUUUCUCCGAACAUUCACAGACGAAGACUUGCUGUUCCAUAAAACUGCCAGUAUUUUAACAGGAAGAAGGAUGCCCUCUGUGCUGUAGAUAUUCAGAACUGCUCUCUGGUGAUCACUUGCUACUAUUUCAUUGUGUAAGAUGUCUCAGCAGUGCAAGUUUCCUCCAUGGACCUACCACCUGAAAGUCUGGCUUUUUGAAGGAGCAGUGAAAGAGACUGCGAAGUAUCUUCUUACAGAUGAAUGGUUUUCCUCCUGAUUUCAGUCCAAAACCAGGACAGCAGUCCUCCCUCAAUCACUUUAAAAUUUCUCUUGAGACCAAACGUGGGAGAUAUGGGUUUGAAAAGUAGGCUGUCACCUGGAAGUGAUGGACAUAAAUGUUAUAAGUCUCACCAUCACCCCAGCAAUGUGAUUCUAUAGGAACAUUUGCAGUCAGUGGGGGACUCUAUCCACAAAGCAUCUUCUGAUGGAGGAACAAAAUCAAGAGAUGGAUGAGCACGAAGGAAAAGGAAGUCCUGUACUUCUUAACUUUCUAGUGCAGCAGUCCUGGCAAAGACUGCAAUGCACGCUCAUUUCAUUACCCUGCCCAGUGUGCUUUGAUCUCGUAUGGUUGUCCCCAGAUUAUAAAUCCUGAGGGACCAUUGAAUCAUCUGAUCUGACCUCUUGUGUGUUUGCAGGCUAUUAAAUUUCGUUCAUUACCCUUGUAUUGAUCUGAAGGUCUUUUGCCUGGCUACAGUUUGUGUUCCAGUGAUGCCUGUGGUAUUGAUCUGAAGACAUGAAAAGACUGAAUUCAUCAUUUCCACUAUUAUUGGUUUAAAUAUUAUCCCAUUCUCCCUAUUAAUUUUUUCUCCUUAUUUCUAAUUUUAUUUUGUCUCAUUUCAGUUUCGAGCCAUUAGGUUCCUGUUGGGAUUUUCGAUCCUAAACUGCAGAACAUUUCAAGCACUGCUUUCUUCUUGUGUGAAUGUUGGACCCAAAGGUAGUAACAGACUCAAAACGAGAGCCUUUGUUUCUCUCUAAAAUCCAUUUUCUGAUGCUCUCAAAUGAAUUCUGUUUGUUUUCUUUUUAACAGAUUCUCCAUUUUUCCUGCAUGUGUUUUUAAAAUACAGAUAUCUCACCUUUCUAUUUUGUUACUGUAUCAGUUUCAUGAUGUUUUAUACAAGUGUAAAAUCAUUGCCCACUCCUAAUCUAUGCUUCUUUAGAGAACUGUAUGCAAGAAGGUUCUCCUUCACCAGAAGAAAAUUUGCAGCUUUAUAGAGGUUUAUAAUUUUCUUUUAUUUGGGAGUUCUUAAUUUUUCACGAAGCAAAUUAUCAGAUGAAACGUAUGUAUCAAUCAGAGUAUACAUUUUCAUUUCUUCAGUUGCCAUCCUUCCACGAAGAUCUUGGUUUUGAUAAAUUCAGCACUUCGAUCAGGAUGAUGAAAAGCUGCUCUGCUCCUUGCUUCCAAUACAGAGACUGCACCAUCCCUGCUUAUACAGCACUGCAGCCAGAGCUCAUUCAUAACUGAUUGUCACCUAUGGGCUCUAGAUCUUUCACAGUCGCUGCUCUGUAGCCCCACAGCUAUUCAGAGGGACCUGCACUGCCCCUUCCUAGAUGAGUAAUGUGAGCACGUAUGGAUGUUUUCUGUUUGCAAAGCGCUCUUCUCAUCAGGCUACCCAUAUUCCUCUAUGACAUCUCUUCUCAUCUGUGAAUUUUAUCAGUUUUUGAUUCUGUCUGCAAAUUUUGCACCUGCUGGGAUGAUAGCAGACAUGGCUCUUUGUUUGCAGUGUAUCUUCAAUGCUUGCUGCUUUGGCAAGUUACCACCCAUCACUGAAACUCUUCACCGGACUCUCAUGUAGUAAGGAGAACCACUGGUCCCACAUAUUUCAUAUGUACUGUGUUUAUGUGUCCUAUCUGGUGCCAGCUCCUAAAGGUAUGGCUACCAAAACAUAAAGAAAAUCUCUUUCUGAAUAAGCAAAACUGGGGAAAAGCUCUUCUGCCUGCAGGACUGAGGAAGCUCUUAGGUAUUUAUAAGGAAUUGAUCAGAUGAAACUUGAAGUGAAAGGGCACCUUAGGCAGACUUUGGCCUCCAAGAAUAGAUAGUUGUUGCCAAAAAAGCCCGCACACUGUGACCACCACAUCCCAGCAGAAGAAUUUGCUGGGGAAGGGGCACACUAGAUUCUGCAACUGGAUGGCUCCCAUCAGCUGGGAAGAAAGUAGGCGGGAGCCAAGGCUGGGGCACUGCCCCCUCCCCAGCAGCUGUAGUUACUGUCAGUAGCUACCUUGAAGCUGAUACUUACAGACAACAGGAGAAAAUAGGGACAAAGCUGAACCCCUCAACCUAGGUGUCUGAAAGUGUUUAUCUGUAUGAUGGAGCCUGGCGCAACAGUCUUUGGAGCAACUGAAAUUCUGGGUAUGUCUUCAACCACGAAGUGUAUGCCAUAGACACCCCAGCAGCAAUGUGUUAUGUUGUCUGAAGGUUUAGGUUUCAGAAGUGCUUUUCCCGGCUAUUGAGCUCAAGCUGCUGUCAUCUGACCCUGCAUCCAGGCUGUAGUGAAGAAACCUUCUGUAGUGAAGAACAGCUCCUUGUUAUGGUCAUACUUUUAACCUCUUUCCUUGCACUCAGGGAGCCUACCUGAAGAUGGGACAAGGAUUCCCAAGGCCUGCUGCAGCCGAAUGCCCCACGGCCUAUGGAGGCUCAACCCCUGAGGAGGAGCUGGAGUGGCUUCAGGACCCUGCUUAGUGCACUGGAGCUGCCAUCUGCAGCUCAGGAUGGACAGCUAAUGCCAUUCAAGCAUAUAGCGAGUCCAGAAGGACGUCGUCAUGAUGAGGAAGGUGUUGGCAAAAGGAGUGGCAGGGAACAAAAAGCACAAAAAAACUGAAGCUCACUGGGCUCCCUCAGGCCCUUCAGAAACUGAUGCAGUUUUGCUUCUUCCUUCAGAUUCUAUCACAAGUCUCGUAACAUUUGGUCUUUCUCCUGAGUAACUUUCUCACAGCCUGCACUCAAGGAAAACUUUCAUCAUCAUCUUCAAAGAUGGAAGCUAUCUUUCAAAGAAAAGCACAAAAACAUAAAUCCUAGGAAUAUCAAUGCAAAAAAAAAAUGCAAUUUAGAAACAAGCUUUGUGAAAUAUCUUGUGGCCAUUUUUUUACAUCUGAGUUGUGGCUCUGGGCUUAUAUCUCAUUCUGAGCUUAGCCUUCUGCACAGAAGUUUCAAAAUUCCCCUCUCCCCCUGUGGCCAUGGAAGAAAAGAGGGACUUCGCAAAUCCCAGCUCCGAGUAUGACCUGCAAGCUGAGCAUGAUCGAAUCAAGGGAAGUAUUGCUCAGAAUGAACUGCCUUGAAAUGUUUGUGCCUAUUUAUGAUGUCAGUUGAGGAAUGUUUUACAUAGGCUGAACUAGUGUGAGACUUAAAGGGGCCUUGCACAGGGGCUAAGACGUGGGCCUUCUCUCAACCCAUCCAUGGAAUGUGCUGCUCCUGCAGUAGGCCCCACAAGUGUGGGCUCCCACGUACACUGUUACUCUCAUUUAGCUCUCUGGUGGAAGUCAGUGGUUCAAGCGGAGCCUAAUCCUGACUUGCUAGGCAGACACUCAACAGUUUCAGGAUAUCCAAUUUUUCCAGGCUUUUCAUCAGAUUCCUUCUGAAAUGGGAGUCACAGCCCUGUGAUUGUCCUCUACUGGCUUGUAGGUAGUAGUGAUCUCCUGUCCUGCCAUGUAUGGUCCUCUCUGGCUGAAACAGUGAUUAGUAUUUUAGUAGUCCCUUCUGCCCACAAAACAGCAUUUCCUGUGCUCCAUAUUACUGCUUAUCCCGAGUAUUUCCAAAAGCUAUGCUUUUCUGUGAUAUAAGGGGAAAAAAACCUCCAACCAAACAUAAAGAAAUGCGAAAAGACAGUUCAUUUUGUGAUAUAUCAUUUUAUUCUUAUUUUUUGUAAUUAUGUGCCUAUUAAUCUGAUAUUUUUGUUUCAUAUUUUUCCUGCACUGCAAUAUAUGGGGAUCAUUUGUUUGAUUACUGUAGUAGAAACCUGAUGAAAUGGCACAGGUCUAUCAAAUAGGCACUGGAAUCAAGGGAUUUACUGGGCAAAGGCACCUCUGUGCUGCUAUAUGUAAAAACACUGAACAACUGAUCUGGUAAAAUAUACACCGACUUCAAGGGAAAUAGUAUAGAACACUUCAGAGCCUUGAGAAUGGCCAGACAUGAAUUAUGCCUAUAUAUGUCUACAUUACUAUUUUAUUGAGCAAGAUAAGGAUAAAAAGAGGAAAAUCAAUCAUAUUCAAGCAACCUAGAACUACCAAAUACAUCUUCAACUGCAUUAGGCAAAUAUUUUUAUCCAUUUAUGUGAACAAAUGCUUUGGCUUGAUCAUAAACAAAAUAAAAAUGUGUUUUUA